rnacentral:rRNA from 1 species
AGUGAACGCUGGCGGUAGGCCUAACACAUGCAAGUCGGACGGCAGCACAGUAAGAGCUUGCUCUUACGGGUGGCGAGUGGCGGACGGGUGAGGAAUACAUCGGAAUCUACUUUUUCGUGGGGGAUAACGUAGGGAAACUUACGCUAAUACCGCAUACGACCUACGGGUGAAAGCAGGGGAUCUUCGGACCUUGCGCGAUUGAAUGAGCCGAUGUCGGAUUAGCUAGUUGGCGGGGUAAAGGCCCACCAAGGCGACGAUCCGUAGCUGGUCUGAGAGGAUGAUCAGCCACACUGGAACUGAGACACGGUCCAGACUCCUGCGAGAGGCAGCAGUGGGGAAUAUUGGACAAUGGGCGCAAGCCUGAUCCAGCCAUACCGCGUGGGUGAAGAAGGCCUUCGGGUUGUAAAGCCCUUUUGUUGGGAAAGAAAAGCAGCAGGUUAAUACCCCGCUGUUCUGACGGUACCCAAAGAAUAAGCACCGGCUAACUUCGUG